UACGGGGGGGGGCAAGCGUUGUUCGGAAUUACUGGGCGUAAAGGGCUCGUAGGCGGCCAACUAAGUCAGACGUGAAAUCCCUCGGCUUAACCGGGGAACUGCAUCUGAUACUGGAUGGCUUGAGUUCGGGAGAGGGAUGCGGAAUUCCAGGUGUAGCGGUGAAAUGCGUAGAUAUCUGGAGGAACACCGAUGGCGAAGGCAGGUCUCUGGGCCGCAACUGACGCUGAGGAGCGAAAGCAUGGGGAGCGAACAGG
rnacentral:rRNA from 1 species